rnacentral:rRNA from 1 species
GACGAACGCUGGCGGCGUGCCUAAUACGUGCAAGUCGAGCGGACAGAAGGGAGCUUGCUCCCGGAAGUUAGCGGCGGACGGGUGAGUAACACGUGGGCAACCUACCCUGUAGAUCGGGAUAACAUCGAGAAAUCGGUGCUAAUACCGGAUAAUCAUUUGAAGUGCAUGCUUCGAAUGUAAAAGAUGGCUCCGGCUAUCACUACGGGAUGGGCCCGCGGCGCAUUAGCUAGUUGGUAAGGUAAUGGCUUACCAAGGCAACGAUGCGUAGCCGACCUGAGAGGGUGAUCGGCCACACUGGGACUGGGACACGGUCCAGACUCCUACGGGAGGCAGCAGUAGGGAAUCUUCCGCAAUGGACGAAAGUCUGACGGAGCAACGCCGCGUGAGUGAUGAAGGUUUUCGGAUCGUAAAGCUCUGUUGCUAGGGAAGAACAAGUGCCGUUUGAAUAAGGCGGCACCUUGACGGUACCUAACCAGAAAGCCACGGCUAACUACGUGCCAGCCGCCGCCGUAAAAC